UGGGGAAUAUUGGACAAUGGGGGGAACCCUGAUCCAGCCAUGCCGCGUGUGUGAAGAAGGCCUUAUGGUUGUAAAGCACUUUAAGCGAGGAGGAGGGUACUGGUAUUAAUACUACCAGGUACUGGACGUUACUCGCAGAAUAAGCACCGGCUAACUCUGUGCCAGCAGCCGCGGUAAUACAGAGGGUGCGAGCGUUAAUCGGAUUUACUGGGCGUAAAGCGUGCGUAGGCGGCUAAUUGAGUCGGAUGUGAAAUCCCCGAGCUUAACUUGGGAAUUGCAGUAGAUACUGGUUAGCUAGAGUGUGGGAGAGGAUGGUAGAAUUCCAGGUGUAGCGGUGAAAUGCGUAGAGAUCUGGAGGAAUACCGAUGGCGAAGGCGGCCAUCUGGCCUAACACUGACGCUGAGGUACGAAAGCAUGGGGAGCAAACAGG
rnacentral:rRNA from 1 species